CUACGGGAGGCAGCAGUGAGGAAUAUUGCACAAUGGGGGGAACCCUGAUGCAGCAACGCCGCGUGGAGGAUGACGCAUUUCGGUGUGUAAACUCCUUUUAUAUGUCAAGAAAAUGACGGUAGCAUAUGAAUAAGCACCGGCUAACUCCGUGCCAGCAGCCGCGGUAAUACGGAGGGUGCAAGCGUUACUCGGAAUCACUGGGCGUAAAGGACGCGUAGGCGGGUUGGAAAGUCAGGUGUGAAAUCCUACAGCUUAACUGUAGAACUGCACUUGAAACUUCUAAUCUAGAGUAUGGGAGGGGGAGAUGGAAUUAGUGGUGUAGGGGUAAAAUCCGUAGAUAUCACUAGGAAUACCUAAAGCGAAGGCGAUCUCCUGGACCAAUACUGACGCUGAGGCGCGAAGGCGUGGGGAGCAAACAGGAUUAGAUACCCGAGUAGUC
rnacentral:rRNA from 1 species